AAAAAAAUCUGUAUAAGUCAGCAUUCUCCAGAGAACAGAAUCAACAGGGCAUAGAGAGACAAAGAAAGAGAGAGAUAAAGGGGAGAUCUAUUAGGGAAGUGGGCUCACAUGACCAUGGUGGCUGACAAAUCCCACAGUGGGCUGUCUGCAAGUAGCAGAAGCAGGAAAGCCAGUAGCAGGCUCAAUCCAAUUCCAAAAGCAUGAGAACCACGGGACCUGAUGAUAUGACUCUCAGUCCAAGGCCUCAGAAUCUGGGAAACUACUGGUGCAAGUCCCAGAGUGCAAAGGUCAGAGAACCUGGAGUUCUGAUGUCCUCCGGCAGUUGAAGAUGGGUGUCCCAGCUCCAGAAGAGAGAGGGAAAAAAAAUCUACCUUUCCUCUGUUCUACCCCCAGGCCCUCAGCCAAUUGGAUGGUUCCCGGCCAGAUUAGCUAAGGGUUACAGCUGGUCGGUGCAAGGAUUUGGAAGGAAGAAUGGCGUGGAAGCCAUUUCUUCUCAGAAUGCCAUAGUGGGAAGACGCAGCAGCUUCUUAGAUGAGUCUACAGUCUUCUCUGGUCCUUAGCUGUGGUGGCCAGAUGGGAAGGCUCUGACCUCUUGGAGAACUCUGGCUUCUCCCCAGCCCCCGUCCUCACUGACUGUUUCUCUAAUCCCUCAGCUGCUACCAUCCAGACCUUUACUACCCCAUCUCCUCCUGCACCUAUGGGAGCCCCAAUUCAUUUAUUAAAUUCCUUAUUCUUACAAUGC